GCACCUAUUCAGAUCCGAGACCAAAUGAAAGAUGUGAAAUUGAAAGAUCCCAUGAUAAUGAUUGGCGCCUGCCACGCCAGCUUACCUGCCGCCCCUCGGUAAUAACUUCGUGUGACGGAUCGAAAUCGCUCUUGUCCGGCUGUAUCCCAAAUCUAUAGGAAUAACGAAAUCAGGGAAUCUGGAAAGAAACACUCGGACUGAUGACGGAUCAGGACAGACGCUGGCUCAUGUAGCAAACCCCCGAAGAACCGCCCACAAUACCAGGAACAAUGACCGGAAAAGGCUUCGAACCUGGAGUUUGACUGUUUUUCCGCCCACGGGCACGAUCUUGGACCCGAACUCGACCCCGAUGGUAUGACUGGAAUCCUCUUUGUAACGGCCUUCGAUGAAUUGGUGAAGAAGACAGGAUUUGCCCGUGCCCGCCGACCCGAUCACCAAAAACUUGAACAAGUAGUCGUAAGAAUCCACGUAGUUGGGCACGG